UACGUAGGGGCCGAGCGUUGUCCGGAGUUAUUGGGCGUAAAGCGCGCGCAGGCGGCCUCGCGCGCCCGACGUGAAAGCCCCCGGCUUAACCGGGGAGGGUCGUUGGGGACGGCGGGGCUUGAGGGCGGGAGAGGGUGGUGGAAUUCCCGGUGUAGUGGUGAAAUGCGUAGAGAUCGGGAGGAACACCCGUGGCGAAGGCGGCCACCUGGGCCGACCCUGACGCUGAGGAGCGAAAGUGUGGGGAGCGAACAGG
rnacentral:rRNA from 1 species